CGACGACCUCAGAUCAGGCGAGAAUACCCCCUAAAUUUAAGCAUU
rnacentral:rRNA from 1 species